CUCUGUUCUGAUGAAGAAAGGACAUUGUACUGGCCUUCACUUAGGUGGCGCCUUCCCAAGGACUACCAGACCCGUCCGAUGCCUUUUUUACAGAGGUGGGG